ACCCUUUUGUUAGAGAAGAACAAGGAUGAGAGUAGAAUGUUCAUCCAUCCACGGUAUUUAACCAGAAAGCCAGGCCUAACUUCGUGCCCGCAGCCGCGGUAAUCCUUAGGCGGCAAGGGUUGUCCGGAUUUAUUGGGCGUAAAGCGAGCGCCGGCGGAUUCCUAUGUCCUAUUUGAAAGCCCCCGGUUCCACCGGGGAGGGUCACUGGAAACUGGGAAACUUGAGUGCAGAAGAGGAGAGUGGAAUUCCACGUGUAGCGGUGAAAUGCGUAGAAAUAUGGAGGAACACCAGUGGCGAAGGCGGCUCUCUGGUCUGUAACUGACGCUGAGGCUCGAAAGCGUGGGGAGCAAACAGGAUUAGAUACCCUGGUAGUCCACGCCGUAAACGAUGAGUGCUAAGUGUUGGAGGGUUUCCGCCCUUCAGUGCUGCAGCUAACGCAUUAAGCACUCCGCCUGGG
rnacentral:rRNA from 1 species